rnacentral:rRNA from 1 species
AGAGCGAACGCUGGCGGCAGGCCUAAUACAUGCAAGUCGAACGAGCCCUUCGGGGCUAGUGGCGGACGGGUGAGUAACACGUGGGAACGUGCCUUUUGGUUCGGAACAACUCAGGGAAACUUGAGCUAAUACCGAAUGUGCCCUUCGGGGGAAAGAUUUAUCGCCAUUAGAGCGGCCCGCGUCUGAUUAGCUAGUUGGUGAGGUAAAGGCCCACCAAGGCUACGAUCAGUAGCUAGUCUGAGAGGAUGAUCAGCCACACUGGGACUGAGACACGGCCCAGACUCCUACGGGAGGCAGCAGUAGGGAAUCUUGCGCAAUGGGCGAAAGCCUGACGCAGCCAUGCCGCGUGAAUGAUGAAGGUCUUAGGAUUGUAAAAUUCUUUCAGCGGGGCGAUAAUGACGGUACCGCAGAAGAAGCCCCGGCUAACUUCGUGCCAGCAGCCGC